CAGGAAAGUGUCUGCUGAAGAAACUCCCAUAUUCACCAUGUAAGAUCCUACCCACAGACAUCAAGCUCCCGAAGGAAUAACAAGCAAGCUACUGACCCUGGAAAGAAAGAAAAAAACAAACAAACCACAAGCUGGAAACAGAAAGGGGCAACUCUUAAAGACAGGCUGUACUUCAACAAUCUCAAGUUAUACUUGCCCAAGAACAUAUACUCAGCAGUGGUCCAGUGGGCCUACGGAGCAUCUGUCCAGAACCCUCAUGAACUCUUUUGAUCAAUAAAUACUCUGAAGUACCAGGAAUUGCCUCUCUGACCAACAGUUACUGUAAAUCUUGUGCCAUUUGUGCCAAGGGCAACUCAAGAAGAA